rnacentral:rRNA from 1 species
UUCCGGUUGAUCCUGCCGGACCCUACUGCUAUCGGGGUGGGACUAAGACAUGCGAGUCGUAUGUUAGAGACGCGGCAUACGGCUCAGUAACGCGUGGCUAACCUACCCUCAGGACGGAGACAACCCCGGGAAACUGGGACUAAUAUCCGAUAGGCGAGGAGGCCUGGAAUGGUUUCUCACCUAAAAGAAUCAUUGCCUGAGGAUGGGGCCGCGCCCGAUCAGGUUGUUGGUGAGGUAAUGGCUCACCAAGCCUAUAACCGGUACGGGCCGUGAGAGCGGUAGCCCGGAGAUGGGUACUGAGACAAGGACCCAGGCCCUACGGGGCGCAGCAGUCGCGAAAACUCCGCAAUGCACGAAAGUGUGACGGGGCUACCCCGAGUGCUCUCCGCUGAGGAAAGCUUUUCCCUGGUAUAACUAGCCAGGGGAAUAAGGAGAGGGCAAGAUCUGGUGUCAGCCGCCGCGGUAAUACCAGCUCUCCGAGUGGUAGGGAUGAUUAUUGGGCUUAAAGCGUCCGUAGCCGGCUUAGCAAGUCUCCUGUUAAACUCAGCGACUUAAUCGUUGAAUCGCGGGAGAUACUACUAGGCUAGGAGGCGGGAGAGGUCGACGGUACUUCUGGGGUAGGGGUGAAAUCCUAUAAUCCCGGGAGGACCACCAGUGGCGAAGGCUGUCGACUAGAACGCGCUCGACGGUGCGGGACGAAAGCUGGGGGAGCGAACCGGAUUAGAUACCCGGGUAGUCCCAGCUGUAAACGAUGCGGGCUAGGUGUUGGAAUGGCUACGUGCCAUUUCAGUGCCGCAGGGAAGCCAUUAAGCCCGCCGCCUGGGGAGUACGGCCGCAAGGCUGAAACUUAAAGGAAUUGGCGGGGGAGCACCACAAGGCGUGAAGCUUGCGGUUCAAUUGGAUUCAACGCCGGA